AUUGAACGCUGGCGGCAGGCUUAACACAUGCAAGUCGAGCGGAGAUGAGGUGCUUGCACCUUAUCUUAGCGGCGGACGGGUGAGUAAUGCUUAGGAAUCUGCCUAUUAGUGGGGGACAACAUUCCGAAAGGAAUGCUAAUACCGCAUACGUCCCACGGGAGAAAGCAGGGGAUCUUCGGACCUUGCGCUAAUAGAUGAGCCUAAGUCGGAUUAGCUAGUUGGUGGGGUAAAGGCCUACCAAGGCGACGAUCUGUAGCGGGUCUGAGAGGAUGAUCCGGCACACUGGGACUGAGACACGGCCCAGACUCCUACGGGAGGCAGCAGUGGGGAAUAUUGGACAAUGGGGGGAACCCUGAUCCAGCCAUGCCGCGUGUGUGAAGAAGGCCUUAUGGUUGUAAAGCACUUUAAGCGAGGAGGAGGCUACUGAGACUAAUACUCUUGGAUAGUGGACGUUACUCGCAGAAUAAGCACCGGCUAACUCUGUGCCAGCCGCCGCCGUAAUAC
rnacentral:rRNA from 1 species